CAAGCGCUGUGGACUUGGCA
rnacentral:miRNA from 1 species